rnacentral:rRNA from 1 species
CAAUAGCGUAUAUUAAAGUUGUUGCAGUUAAAAAGCUCGUAGUUGGAUUUCUGGUAGGAGUGACCGUUCCGAACUUGAUUGUUCGUGUAUUGUGUUUUCUCCAGCCAUCCUUGUGGAGAACUUUUCUUGCAUUAAUUUGUAGGAUUGGGACCCACAUCGUUUACUGUGAAAAAAUUAGAGUGUUUAAAGCAGGCAAUCGCUUGAAUACAUUAGCAUGGAAUAAUAAGAUAGGACUUUGGUACUAUUUUGUUGGUUUGCAUACCAAAUUAAUGAUCAACAGGAACAGUUUGAGGAUAUUCGUAUGAACAUGUCAGAGGUGAAAUUCUUGGAUUUUGAUCAGACGAACUACUGCGAAAGCAUUUAUCAAGGAUGUUUUCAUUAA